AUAGUGGAGACGGGGUGGAACAAAGUAUAUAGUCAUGUGUAUUUGCAAAUUACAUUAACUUUGGUUCUAUUGUUUGCUGCUACUUCAGUAGAGGAGCCUUUAUUGCUCUGAAUAUUGAGAAAAGUACAUUUGUAACCAAAUGAGAAAUCAAUUGUGAAAGUUCUAGGAUGGUACUUGUUUAACCUAGAAGGGAUGAAUAUGUUCCAAUUUAAAAAUCCAAUUCAAUUUUCUGUUCUCAAAUUAAAUACACCUUACAACUCAAGUCAUUAACACUCAGAAGAAGGUCGUGGAGGUUGCUGAAAUUGUAUGACUGCCAUGAGGCAGCGACCACCUUCACCGCCCACAAUGAAGAACUGGAAAGUUUACAAGUCAAGAAUCCACGAAUGAGGAAAUCACAUGAGCAAAAACAAACUCCUUGAAACCCUCUCUGAAUUCUUAACCCUCUUAUUUGUUAGGAGAUUACCCUCCUGAUGCAAUUUCAAUUUGGAUACAUGUUGAAUUCAAUUCAAUACUCUUUAAUCAUUGAGUUCUAUAUUUAUAUAAUCAAUGUUCGAAAAUAGAUUUUGAGACAACACUAAUUUUAAUACUUGGAUCUAACGAAUGACAUGACACAGGAUCGAGCACAAUGGCGUUCUAAGAUUCAUAUAGCCGAUCCCACUCAAUGACUUGGAUUUUCCAAGUCUCCAACCAAGAAGUUUUCCUCACUCGGGAAAUUAAGGGAACACUACCCCAACCUACAUGCUCCACUCAGAAAGCUUCAACAUACAAGCUUCAACAAAAGAAAAUUCAAAGAACUUAGCGAAGAAGGCUUUGGUGUAUUUAACACAAUACGUUGAAAUGAAGGAAAGCUUAUUUAUUGAUAUCCCCGAUAAGCUACAAAUAUGUACAUAUACAUGAGUCAAAAUAAACACACAAGAGGGAGCCUUCACAAAGGUUGCUUAGGAGAAGUCUCAGCAGUCGGUAGAGCCCCAGAAAGAGAAGGCACCGGAGGGGGAUCAUUUGGAGCCUCAGUACUGGACAGAACCCUAGAAGGAGGAGGCAUCAGAGGUUGAUCAUUUGGAGCUUCAUUACGCGGUACAGCCCCAGAAGACGAAGGCAAUAAAUGUCUUUGGAACAAACCCACAAAUCUCUGAUGAUCAAGUAAAACCUGACCAUCAGUUUCCUUCAUCUGGUCAAGCUUCCUCUUCAUGUUUGUAGCAUAGUCAUGUGCGAGCCGGUGCAACUGUUUAUUCUCAUGCUUGAGCCCUCUAAUCUCCUGUUUGAGACUCAUCACUUCAGCCGCCAAUGAUUCAACUUGGCGGGUUCGAG
rnacentral:lncRNA from 1 species